UUUUUAUCAAGAGUUGGGGUAGAGAGUUAGCUCGAUAAUCCCACACCAACCUGUAUGGGGUAAAUCAUAUAAGGUGGUACAGCUAACAGCGAUAAGAG
rnacentral:ncRNA from 2 species